rnacentral:lncRNA from 1 species
CACGUGACCCAGGAAAUAGGGUAAGGACACAAGUUCAGUGAAGCUGAUACACACUUGCUGCUGAGAGAAUGUAACUUGCAGCCUGUGGUCUGCUGUGAGUCACAUCUGAACAAGGAGGAUCUGCCAGUCACCAGAAUCCAUCAGUUGAAGUACAAGAAGGCCAUAACUUGACUCUAAAGUGUCCUGAAAAACCCUCGAACAACAGCUUGGAGAACUGGGAUUGGAAGAGAAUCGAUGACCCCACAAACGUUGCCAAAAGUGUCAUCUUCUCCCAUCGGAGAGGCAUCGACCAUCCUCAACCACAGAUGGAGCAAUACAAAAACAGGGCGCUUGUUAACAAGGAGGACCUGCGCAGAGGAGUGCUGGCUCUAACGAUCACCUCAGUGCGGCAGGCUGACGGUGGGCGCUACAGAUGUCACAUCCCAGGCCUGGGGAGCUUUGAUUUUACAGUUGUUGUGAAAAAUGACAGUGGAACAGAGUUUACUACACCAACACCAACGAUGGAUCCAGGUGAGGCUGGAGACUGUUUCUGUGUUUCUCAAGAAAGACGUUCUCAUGCUGGUCCUACAGUGCUGAACACAACACUGAUAAUAAACCUUCAUUACUAAUGUACCAUUUUGCUUAUUUCUUCAGAUGCAACCAAGGAGAAGCACAUGGUUACUGCCAUUACUGUUCCCGUGGGCCUUGGUGUCGCCAUUGCUGUCGUUUUCAUCCUCAUGAGAUGCAGGAAGAAAUGGAAUGUCAAGACGCACAGAGGAAGCAGGGACCAAGACAACCAGUAUGGACCGGUAACAAUGAUGCCAGCAAGAGAAGACGAGAACGAUGCUGCAGCAAACGGAAACGACCCUCCAGUUGUUGUGAUAAAUGGACUGAGAGGCUGACGUCUAGAAGCAUUAUUAGACAAAAACUCCAUUUCCAGGAGAAAAAAAAGGCCAUGAAUUAUGACGGCUUAAGAGCUUGUCUCUUUUAAAAAUUUUUAAAAUAAUACUCAUUUCCCACUGGCUGUAGUGGAAGACAUCACUAAUUUAUUUUUUUACAGCACUUUAGGCUUAUUUAUUGUGAAAACUGUGAAUGGACACGGUUCAUUCACAGUUCCAUAAAAUUAUGCUGAACAUUUUGAUAUGUGUGAAACACGCGUCACACAGAGAUCAGCCACAACAUUAAAACUACUGAGAGAUGACCACUCCGCUCCGCUCCGGCUUCCUCCCACAUGCUAAAGACAUGCUGCAUUAAUUGGUCACUGUAAAUAGCCCGUAGCUGUGAGUGUCACUGGUUGUCUCUGUGUGUUGCCCUGUGAUGGUUGGCGGCCUGUCCAGGGUGUACCCUGCCUCUCACCCCC